CCUACGGGAGGCAGCAGUGGGGAAUUUUGGACAAUGGGGGCAACCCUGAUUCUUGCCAUGCCGCGGAAGGAUGAGGCCCUCGGGUUGUAAACCGCUUUUAGCCGGAAAGAAAUGACGU
rnacentral:rRNA from 1 species